GUGGUACUCAAAUGUGGAAGCACUCUUCAGACAAAUCAGUGAAAAGUGCUACUAUAUUUGGGUGUCAC
rfam:Felis catus isolate Cinnamon breed Abyssinian chromosome E2, whole genome shotgun sequence.